rnacentral:rRNA from 1 species
UCCUACGGGAGGCAGCAGUAAGGAAUUUUCGUCAAUGGGCGCAAGCCUGAACGAGCAAUGCCGCGUGAACGAGGAAGGUCUUCGGAUCGUAAAGUUCUGUUGAAGGGGAAAAAGAGCGGAGAGAGGAAAUGAACUCCGAUUGAUAUUACCCUUCGAGGAAGUCACGGCUAACUACGUGCCAGCAGCCGCGGUAAUACGUAGGUUGCGAGCGUUAUCCGGAAUGAUUGGGCGUAAAGGGUGCGUAGGUGGCCUGCUACGUCUCGAGUGAAAGCUACCUGCUCAACCGGUAC